GUGGGAGGCUCUAAAGCCAGGGGAUUCAAUCAAAGAGCUGCUGCUGAUGGAGCAAAGAUGAAACGGUUUACCGGCUAGCCAGUGAAACGCUUGGAGUUUUUCCCCGGGCAACCAGCCUGAGGCGAGUAACAGGAGACAGGGUUGAUGCUGAGGUCUGGGAGUCCAUUGCGGCGGCGGGACGGAGACAUGCAAGGAGCCCCCAAUGGGCAUAAGGAGUGGGCGGGGCCCGGGCAAUAGGGCGUGGCCUAGCGCCGAGAACUCUGGAAGGGACGUGCCCCCCUUUGCAGUCCCGUGGCCUAGCGCGGGGAAUCGGGAAGGGGCGUGGCCCUCCCCGAGCUGGCGCCUGGGAGGCUCCCACCUGCCCACGGUUGCACGUGGCCGCCUGCCCCAUCCCCCGCUACCCACAGCUGGUCUCUGCGCGCAGCCUCCUGCCGGGAGUGGCCAGCCUUGCACUUCAUCCCCCGCUGGGGGCCGGGUGGUCGCCUCCCUAAUGUCCCCGACUCCCCGACGCCUUACUGCGGGGUGCGCCCGGGGCGCGGGAACCCUGGGUCAUUGACACCGACCGUCCUGGGCCCGGGCUCCGUCCCGGCGCUCCCAGUUCCCCCCCGCCUCUUCUUCGCCCCUCCCGUCUUUUCCGUCCCAGCCUGAUGGAGCACAUGAGGUUAAAGCUUCGGUCCAGACGUUUUAAGAAAUGUCCCAGGAUCCGUGGAAGUUGUUGAGGAAAAGCAGAGUCUCUGGCAUCCCCAUCCAACGCUCCCGAACCGGAGAUAGCAUGUGGCUGAGGGGUCGUGGUGGGCGGGCUGAAAGGGCAAGGUUAACUCCCUAGAGUCCCCCUGCUCAGCGUGGAAGCCCAGGCAGGGCUGCACAGGCGAGGAUUUCGCAUCCCGGGCAGGCUUCGCGGUGGGAGGAACAUCGCACAUCGCCAUGGCAAUUCUUCCCGUGGGAAUAAGGAACUUCUGAAUGUGGAGCAAAUUGGAAAGGGACCUUCCAAGCGCCAGCUGGGGCUCCAGGCAGGCCGGUUCUCUUCUCUUGUCUGCUGCCAUGUGAGACAUGACUUUCACCUUCCACCAUGAUUGUGAGGUCUUCCCAGCCACAUGGAACUAGACGAGGUUUCACCAUGUUCAUCAGGCUGGUCUUGAACUCCUGACCUCGUGAUCCACCUGCCUCGGCAUCCCAAAAUGCUGGGAUUAUAUGCAUGAGCCACCGUGCCUGGCCUACUUAUUAAUUUAUAAUUGGACUUCUACUAUAAGAAAAACCUGUCUUUUCCCUCCCAGGUAUUUAAGUAUUUAUUUCAAUACAGAUAGAUAUUUCUUUUAUUAUCUGG